GUGCCCCAGCACAUACCCUAAAAUUGGAAAGAUACAGGGAAGAUUACCAUGGCCCCUGAACAAGAAU
ensembl:snRNA U6 U6 spliceosomal RNA